rnacentral:rRNA from 1 species
UGGGGAAUAUUGCACAAUGGGCGCAAGCCUGAUGCAGCCAUGCCGCGUGUAUGAAGAAGGCCUUCGGGUUGUAAAGUACUUUCAGCGGGGAGGAAGGUGUUGUGGUUAAUAACCACAGCAAUUGACGUUACCCGCAGAAGAAGCACCGGCUAACUCCGUGCCAGCAGCCGCGGUAAUACGGAGGGUGCAAGCGUUAAUCGGAAUUACUGGGCGUAAAGCGCACGCAGGCGGUCUGUCAAGUCGGAUGUGAAAUCCCCGGGCUCAACCUGGGAACUGCAUCCGAAACUGGCAGGCUUGAGUCUCGUAGAGGGGGGUAGAAUUCCAGGUGUAGCGGUGAAAUGCGUAGAGAUCUGGAGGAAUACCGGUGGCGAAGGCGGCCCCCUGGACGAAGACUGACGCUCAGGUGCGAAAGCGUGGGGAGCAAACA